CCUACGGGAGGCUGCAGUAGGGAAUUUUCGGCAAUGGGGGGAACCCUGACCGAGCAACGCCGCGUGAAUGAUGAAGUACUUCGGUAUGUAAAGUUCUUUUAUUGGUGAAGAACGACGCUUUGAUGCGUGUGACGGUAGCUAAUGAAUAAGCCCCGGCUAACUAUGUGCCAGCAGCCGCGGUAAUACAUAGGGGGCAAGCGUUAUCCGGAAUUAUUGGGCGUAAAGGGUGCGUAGGCGGUUAAAUAAGUUUAAGGUGUAAGUUCUGGGCUCAACCCAGUGAUGCUUUAGAAACUGUUUAGCUAGAGAGUGGUAGAGGCAAGUGGAAUUCCAUGUGUAGCGGUAAAAUGCGUAAAUAUAUGGAGGAACACCAGUGGCGAAGGCGGCUUGCUGGGCCAAAUCUGACGCUGAGGCACGAAAGCGUGGGGAGCAAACAGGAUUAGAUACCCGAGUAGUC
rnacentral:rRNA from 1 species